UCACUUCCAUUUCUCUCUUUUUUUCUCCUUCCUUUUCCAGUCUCACAUUACUGCAUCGCAUAACCCGCGCAACCCUCCUCUUUCUUUCUCUUUCGGUUGCAGUGUCGUGCAACACCGCACGAUCACCCUUCUCUCUUAGUCGUCGAUGCUACCCGACCUUCUCUCUCCUCUCAUAGUUGCGUUUCUCUCUCCUUGCUCUCACAUCUCUUUCUUUUUCUUUUUUUUUGUUAUUUAAUUACCUAUAUACAUAUAUAUAUAUAUAUUUGCCGCUUAGGUCCCAUUCUCCUGCUCUCUGCGUUCUUUUUUUUCUUUAUUUAUUUAUUUCUUUUUUCUUUCUUUUAUUUUUCUUUAUUUAAUUAUAUACACAUACAUACAUAAAAGAAGACAUGUGGCAUGUGCAUACAUAUAUAUAUGUGCAUACAUACAUAUGUAUAUGUAUGCACAUGCCACGUCUUCUUUUUCUGCUUGCAGAGUAAACACUCUUGGUUCUUCUUUUCUUCUUUUUUUUUCCUUCACUUUUCUAUUAUUUAAAUAUUUAUAUAUAUAUAUACAUGUAUAUAUGUUUGCCAGGAUCUAUUAUUUAAUAUUAUAUAUAUACAUAUAUAUAUGUUUGCCACCUGGAUAUUACAUUAAUCUUUUCUUCAGUUGUAUUAUUUAUUUUAAAUGUCUUAAAAACCUUGUCAUUUACGGUUGCCCCAUAAUUAUAUUUUCGUCAUGAAAGACACACAAAAGGAGUGUUUGUAGGCACUAAAUUUACCCACUGCAUUGAAUUAUGUUAUCAUAGCUUUGGUUAAAUUAAGUUAUGAGUGCAUAUAUGAGAGGACGUGAUAGCACACAAUUUCUAUCAAUCCAUGUAUAAUAUAAACGCACAAAUAUUAUGCAAUAUAUCAUAAAGAGAGAACAGAGUCCAAGAAAUAGCCUUGCUUUCCUAAUUCUCUUACUAAGACAUGACUGCAAUCCAUUGAACUUCACAUUACAAUGUUUCUACUAAAAAAGAAAAACUCAUGUAUUCCCAAAAGCCUUCUUUGUCAGAAAUUUUGAAGACUCAAAAGCUUUCUUUGUCAGAAAUUUUGAAGACUGGCCCCAAAGUAAAUAGUUUAUUUUUAAAUAAACCUUGAAAGACUGAACAAUUAACUAUUGUUUUGCUAAAUUAGACAACUCAUGAGAAAAACGCACUUUUUCAAAAAUUUUAACACCUUAUAUAAGGUAUUAAUCACCUAAUAAUAAUAAAUCAAUCAAGGAAACAAUAUUAAAAAUAAUAAAAUUAUAAGUUCAUACAAUAAAAAAAUAUGGAGAUAUAUCAAAGUUAGAGGAGAAUGUAUAAACUUCUUUUUCUAUACUUGUUAUUUAAAUACUAUAGAGAUACUUUAAAUAUAUAUAAAGCUGAUGACAUUAUUUUAUCAUGUAUUUAUUAAAUUGAUUUAUAUUAAAUUGAAUUUAGUUACAUUUAAUCUAAAUGUAAAAAUAUUUAUGAUAAUCAAUUACUCGUUUUACUUAAAAUUUUCAUUGAACUUGUUUUAUCGCCUUUAUGU
rnacentral:lncRNA from 1 species